rnacentral:misc_RNA from 1 species
UCAGUUCAUCAUCCAGAAGAACAUUACUUGGCUUCAGAUCACAAUGAACUAUUGUAGUUUCACAGUGAUGAUGCAGAUAUUCAAGUGCAAAAGCAAUAUCAAUGGCAAUAUUUAGUCUUUGAAGAAGAUUUAAACUCUUUCGUGCCUCACGAUGAUUUCCAUCAACUACCACGACUGGAUGUAACCAAUCCUCAAGGCUUCCAUUAACCAUGAACGCAUAAACUAGAGCCUUGAAAUCGUUGCCUUGGUAAUCAAUACUUGAACAAGCUGAUAUCACCUUCACAAGAUUUCGAUGUCUGAUAUUUUUCAACACUUCACAUUCUGCAAUGAAGCUUCUAGCUGCUUUGUGAUGCUGAAGGUUGAGCACCUUAACAGCAAUGGGUGGUCCACCUUCACCAAGAAGUCCUUUAUAUACAGAUCCAAAUCCACCAACACUGAUCAAAUUCAAAGAGGAGAAGCCAUUGGUGGCAUCAAG